CCCAGGGCAUCCGGGAACUAUGCAGUGCUUUUUUCUAUUAUGACCGAUCCUAAGUAAGGGCCACCAGCUAACUGAGUCUGGCCACUGCCGGUGCAGCUUCUCUCCGAGGCUGGAAAGCAGGGACCGUCGGCCGGCAUCAGCAGAGCAGAGGAGGCGGAACUUUGUAACACAUGUUUUGAGCUGAAGGUGUAGGCACGUUCUGGCCUCCUGUCGCGCUGGAACAGGGGAACCGAAGUGAAAGGGGGUGAGGAGUCGGGGGAACUGACAGCCUGACGGACCCGGCGGCGAGAAGUGAUGACAAGGGUGUCGGAAGAGGGGAUAUGAGCCUUCAUCACCCUGUUAGAGAGACCACAUGGAGAGAUUGUGAGACAACAUGGACAGAGCAUGAAGCCUAGCUGCACCCAGGAUUCCAGAAAUCUCUACCAAGGCAUCAGCCAUAAAGGAAACCAUCCUGGCUCAACCAGAUCAACUUAGCCACCAGCUGGACAUCACUAGGUGACUCCAGUAGAUGCCAUAUGGAGCCGGAAGAUUGUCCAGUUGUCACAGAGCACCUGAUUUAAGCUCCCUGCAUCAUACAGCAAAAUCC